GAGAUCCGAAAAAAAAAAAAAAAUCCGCCUCCGAAGUGAUGAUUGGCUCACUGGUAUCCACAUCCCACCCCAGGGAUGCCUCCUGGUACCUUUCCGUGUAGGAAAAUGAUUUUGUCCCGCGCAGACUCCCUCAGCACUUUCUGCAGUCUGAAGCCGGAGAACGGUUUCCUGGAUCCAUUCCUCAGCUUCUGAGAAUAUACAAAAAGAGGUUGUAAACUGUAUUCAAGACUAGUAAAAAAAAAUAUCCUGGAGGACAAAUGGCAAUGACAAAA